rnacentral:rRNA from 1 species
CAGUAGCCGCGGUAAAACAGAGGGUGCGAGCGUUAAUCGGAUUUACUGGGCGUAAAGCGUGCGUAGGCGGCUAAUUGAGUCGGAUGUGAAAUCCCCGAGCUUAACUUGGGAAUUGCAUUCGAUACUGGUUAGCUAGAGUGUGGGAGAGGAUGGUAGAAUUCCAGGUGUAGCGGUGAAAUGCGUAGAGAUCUGGAGGAAUACCGAUGGCGAAGGCAGCCAUCUGGCCUAAUACUGACGCUGAGGUACGAAAGCAUGGGGAGCAAACAGGAUUAGAUACCCCGGUAGUCCCUGUCUCUUAUAC